rnacentral:rRNA from 1 species
UACGGGGGGAGCAAGCGUUGUUCGGAUUUACUGGGCGUAAAGGGCGCGUAGGCGGCCACCGCAAGUCAAUUGUGAAAUCUCCGGGCUUAACUCGGAAAGGUCAACUGAUACUGCGGGGCUAGAGUGCGGAAGGGGCAACUGGAAUUCUCGGUGUAGCGGUGAAAUGCGUAGAGACCGGGAAGAACACCAGUGGCGAAGGCGGCUACCUGGACAGGUACUGACGCUGAAGCGCGAAAGCUAGGGGAGCAAACAGG